rnacentral:lncRNA from 1 species
ACAUCCAUGGCUUCAGACUAAUAUAAUUUGAGUGGAAGACAGUGAUGAUCGGCCAUGAAAUCAGUCAACACUUAUCUUUUGACCAACUUUUGUGGUACAUAUUGCAAUGUGUACUCUAAUAAAGCUGACAUCCACUUGUCAAUUCUUCCAUGCAUGAUCGGCCUAGUUAACAUGUGUUAACUAUGUUUGUUGAACAAAUUAUAUACACCGAAACAUGUAGCAUGAAGUAUCUUAAUUUAGCACAAGUAUAAUGCAAAGCCGGGCAUAAUUUUUCAAUCGACAAAUAGCACCGUUCAGUUUUUGUUAAAGCACGGCUCAA